UUUAACCCAUAAUUUAAAGUCGUUUUAUGAGCGGUUGACUUAGGAAAGACGUCAAUCGGCACAGAAAGGGGCCUCCCCUUCUUCUUCUGCUGACUAUGAUACGUCGCAGUUGUCUGACAAGAGAAGCUCCAGGUGAAUAAAAUAUUGGGAGCUUAUGUUAAAGCUUGUCCCUGAGGGAAGCUUUUUUAUGGCAAUAAAGUUAUCAAUUACUUAGCCAUACUAGAAAUGUGUGUCCGUAAUUAGCAUUAUCAUGAAGAAUGCUCCACAAAGACAAUUGACGAAAUUGAAUUCGUCUGGGACGUUGUGUGACUGGUCACGCACGUAGUUAAAUACACAUGUAUGUUCAACGUCUGGCUCUUUGUUGUUACUUAGACAACAAGAUUUAACAUGUUCAUGUUGACGAGUCUAACAUGUUUUUGGUAGUCUUGAUAGAAUAUUGUUCUAUACGAGGAACACGUGUCCUUUCUAAUAAACCAUUGUUAUGCAAACAAUGCAAACAUUGCGAAUGUUGUCGGCAAAUGGUCGGCGGUAUUCCUCCGAACUCCGCUCACUCAGGAUUGACCGUCCCGGGCGUGGUUGCGGAGCAUUCUUAUGAUUCUACUUCUUCCUGGUAAGUAUGUUCCAGAAGAUGGGAAGAAGGAGCUCUGUGUGCUUCACGGAACUUCAGUUGCUCGCCACGUGCUCGUCCUGGACUGGCGGGGAUUCCCAGUCACCAGAGCAGGGGCUAUUGAGGUAGCCAAUCAGGUGUUGGGGAACAAUGCAAGUUACCAGACACCUUUCUGAACAUCACUAUCCCGAGCUUCCGGUAGGUGAUGGGUGACAAGUGAGCCAUGCAAUUUAGGCUCACAAGGCUGGCUUCUGGCAGCCUGCAAUCCACUUGACUGGAAACAUUAAAUUGUGAUGUUGAGUUACCAAAAUUGGUACUCACUUCGAUUGUAUUUGUAAAGAUUGCCUUUGCCACAGAUGAGGCUUCUACUUGUUACAAGUUCAGUAUGUUUGUUACACACGUUAUGGGGAUUCCGGAGGAAUCUAACACAGUUGACUUCAUGUUUUGCAUGAACCACACCAAUUCAAAUGUAUUAUUGGUAUGUUGGUACUCUUUGGUUUAUUUAGAGCCACAGUUAGCUUGAAUUUCAGCUAUUGUUUCCUGUGGUCGAUAGAUGGCUUGGGCGCUCUUAUAUUAGCCCAGUCGUUCAACACAUUCAUGCUAUACAUUGCCUUACCUUACAUGUACAUUGUACCCGUUACAAUUGUUGUGCAAUAAACAUUGAUUUAUUUUAUUGUUAUAGGCUGUUCUUUCACGAGGAUCAGCCACUUCAUCUAAUGGGUUUCUCCCCUCUAUGAAGGGAAACAAGAGGUUUGUGUUUUUCUCCUCAAAGGUGACUUGAGGAUGGCUCCUUCCCCUUGGGAAAAGGGGGGGGGGCAAGUUGAUGGGACUGGACAAUGUGUACCAAGUCCUAAGGAUUAAUGCUUUUUCAGUGUUUGUUCAUCAGGCACUCAGUGUUAUCUAACAGUUAUACUGGUAGGACAUUAGGUCACGAGAACUGACCUUCUUAGACUAUAACUGAUACUUCAGUUGAUACCUGUGCUGUCCAGAUACAGCUUUGGAGUCUGCAUAUUGUACUCUCCCUGAACAAGGUCGAGUCAAUGAGGUAUAAUUGGGGGUUAUGCUAAGAUGUACUUACCAUCUACAGUAUAAUCUGAAUUAUACCUCAUACGAGACCUUGUUCAGGUAUAUCUUCCCACCCUCAGUAACUUAUGUUCAGCUGCAGGGAUUUAGUGAACAUUACCCACCCAUGGACAGCACAGACUUAUUUAUCUACUCUCGCACUCAGUCAAUGAUGAUUGGGAAGGGGCGUCAUCACGUGAGGUCCCAUCAUGCUUUGCUUUUCUUUUCUUUGUAUGUUGUGCACCAUCUAGCGAUUCCCAGGAAUACUGCAUAUUGUACUCUCCCUGAACAAGGUCUCGUAUGAGGUAUAAUUCAGAUUAUACUG